CUUGACCUCGGAUCAGGUAGGGAUACCCGCUGAACUUAAGCAUAUCAAUAG
rnacentral:rRNA from 2 species